UGGGCGAAAGCCUGACCCGCGNNGCCGCGUGGGGGANGAAGCCCUUCGGGGUGUAAACCCCUGUCGGGGGGGACGANGAGACCGUGGGNUAAUACCUCACGGUCUUGACGGUACCCCCAGAGGAAGGGACGGCUAACUACGUGCCANCAGCCGCGGUAAUACGUAGGUCCCGAACGUUGCGCGA
rnacentral:rRNA from 1 species